ensembl:lncRNA
AGGACGUUGGUGUCUAUUUUACUUUAGUGCGAUUCAGCCAUACAGUGAUGAAUGAUUUAGUUUGUCUUUAUUAGUAGAUAUACUGAUAUCAGCUAAACAGUUCAGCUCUCUGGUGGACAGGAUAGGAUUAGCUUUCGGAUAGAUGGGUAUCACCGUCCUGACUUUUUGAAGACAGACUGACCACAUUUAAACAGGAUAAGUUCAGCGUAGGUCUCUUGGGGGUCUUGGUAACUGUUCUGCAGGGUAACUGAGACAGACAGACGUAGCUACAUGAGCCAGACACAGCAGACACGGAUUAAGGCGCAUCUAUGAUACGUAGGUAUGACAGUCAUCUGCUGUCAGAGUCAGAUUUCAGUGGCGGUGUUGCCCACCCUGGAUCUACUCCCAGCACUUAUAAAGUGAUCCAGUAGACUGACUUCAGUUUCCUUGAUCCUGCUAUGCAACCAACCUUGAAACACCACCAAGUCCAACUCAUCAGGUCCUUACUGACACUCGAUGUAAAAAGAUAAAAAACUUGGCACAAUUUCAUGCCUCGCCCUAAUGCUUCUGCCUUUGUUGACUGAUUGAUUACCAUCUUCUUUUUAGUAAAUAUGUGGGGCAUUUAACAGGCGCUUAGCUUGUUUU